CACGUAGGGUGCGAGCGUUGUCCGGAAUUAUUGGGCGUAAAGAGCUCGUAGGCGGUGUGUCGCGUCGGCCGUGAAAACCUGCAGCUUAACUGUGGGCUUGCGGUCGAUACGGGCAUCACUGGAGUUCGGCAGGGGAGACUGGAAUUCCUGGUGUAGCGGUGAAAUGCGCAGAUAUCAGGAGGAACACCGGUGGCGAAGGCGGGUCUCUGGGCCGAUGACUGACGCUGAGGAGCGAAAGCGUGGGGAGCGAAC
rnacentral:rRNA from 1 species